UACGAAGGGGGCUAGCGUUGUUCGGAAUUACUGGGCGUAAAGGGCGCGUAGGCGGUUUGUCAAGUCAGGCGUGAAAGCCCCGGGCUCAACCUGGGAACUGCGCUUGAGACUGGCAGGCUCGAGUUCGGGAGAGGAUGGUGGAAUUCCCAGUGUAGAGGUGAAAUUCGUAGAUAUUCGGAGGAACACCAGUGGCGAAGGCGGCUCACUGGCUCGGUACUGACGCUGAGGUGCGAAAGCGUGGGGAGCAAACAGG
rnacentral:rRNA from 1 species